GCGCGAAAACUUUACAAUGCUGGCAACAGCGAUAAGGGAACCUCGAGUGCCAGGUUACAAAUCUGGCUGUCGAGAUGCCUAAAAAGCAUUUCAUAGCAAGGGCCGGGCAAGACCGGUGCCAGCCGCCGCGGUAACACCGGCGGCUCGAGUGGUAACCGUUAUUAUUGGGUCUAAAGGGUCUGUAGCCGGCCGGAUAAGUCUCUUGAGAAAUCUGGCAGCUUAACUGUCAGGCUUUCAGGAGAUACUGUCUGGCUCGAGGCCGGGAGGGGUGAGAGGUACUUCGAGGGGUAGGGUGAAAUCUUGUAAUCCUUGAAGGCCACCAGUGGCGAAGGCGUCUCACCAGACCGGACCUGACGGCAAGGGACGAAAGCUAGGGGCACGAACCGGAUUAGAAACCCCCGG
rnacentral:rRNA from 1 species